UACGAAGGGGGCUAGCGUUGCUCGGAAUCACUGGGCGUAAAGCGCACGUAGGCGGAUUGUUAAGUCAGGGGUGAAAUCCUGGAGCUCAACUCCAGAACUGCCUUUGAUACUGGCGAUCUUGAGUCCGGGAGAGGUGAGUGGAACUGCGAGUGUAGAGGUGAAAUUCGUAGAUAUUCGCAAGAACACCAGUGGCGAAGGCGGCUCACUGGACCGGCAUUGACGCUGAGGUGCGAAAGCGUGGGGAGCAAACAGG
rnacentral:rRNA from 1 species